rnacentral:rRNA from 1 species
CCUACGGGUGGCUGCAGUGGGGAAUUUUCCGCAAUGGGCGAAAGCCUGACGGAGCAAGACCGCGUGAGGGAGGAAGGCUCUUGGGUUGUAAACCUCUUUUCUCAGGGAAGAACUCCAUGACGGUACCUGAGGAAUCAGCCUCGGCUAACUCCGUGCCAGCAGCCGCGGUAAUACGGAGGAGGCAAGCGUUAUCCGGAAUUAUUGGGCGUAAAGCGUCCGUAGGUGGUCGUGUAAGUCGGUCGUCAAAGCCAGAGGCUCAACCUCUGUCAGGCGGU